rnacentral:rRNA from 1 species
ACACUCCUGCGGGAGGCAGCAGUAGGGAAUCUUCGGCAAUGGGGGCAACCCUGACCGAGCAACGCCGCGUGAGUGAAGAAGGUUUUCGGAUCGUAAAGCUCUGUUGUAAGUCAAGAACGAGUGUGAGAGUGGAAAGUUCACACUGUGACGGUAGCUUACCAGAAAGGGACGGCUAACUACGUGCCAGCAGCCGCGGUAAUACGUAGGUCCCGAGCGUUGUCCGGAUUUAUUGGGCGUAAAGCGAGCGCAGGCGGUUUGAUAAGUCUGAAGUUAAAGGCUGUGGCUCAACCAUAGUUCGCUUUGGAAACUGUCAAACUUGAGUGCAGAAGGGGAGAGUGGAAUUCCAUGUGUAGCGGUGAAAUGCGUAGAUAUAUGGAGGAACACCGGUGGCGAAAGCGGCUCUCUGGUCUGUAACUGACGCUGAGGCUCGAAAGCGUGGGGAGCGAACAGGAUUAGAAACCCGUGUAGUCCCAUGAU